UGCAAGUCGAACGGUGAAGCCCAGCUUGCUGGGUGGAUCAGUGGCGAACGGGUGAGUAACACGUGAGCAACCUGCCCUCCACUUCGGGAUAAGCCUUGGAAACGGGGUCUAAUACCGGAUAUGAGCAUCUGCCGCAUGGUGGGUGUUGGAAAGUUUUUCGGUGGAGGAUGGGCUCGCGGCCUAUCAGCUUGUUGGUGGGGUGAUGGCCUACCAAGGCGUCGACGGGUAGCCGGCCUGAGAGGGCGACCGGCCACACUGGGACUGAGACACGGCCCAGACUCCUACGGGAGGCAGCAGUGGGGAAUAUUGCACAAUGGGCGAAAGCCUGAUGCAGCGACGCCGCGUGAGGGAUGACGGCCUUCGGGUUGUAAACCUCUUUCAGCAGGGAAGAAGGCUUCGGUUGACGGUACCUGCAGAAGAAGCGCCGGCUAACUACGUGCCAGCAGCCGCGGUAAUACGUAGGGCGCAAGCGUUGUCCGGAAUUAUUGGGCGUAAAGAGCUCGUAGGCGGUCUGUCGCGUCUGGUGUGAAAACCCGAGGCUCAACCUCGGGCUUGCAUCGGGUACGGGCAGACUAGAGUGCGGUAGGGGAGACUGGAAUUCCUGGUGUAGCGGUGGAAUGCGCAGAUAUCAGGAGGAACACCGAUGGCGAAGGCAGGUCUCUGGGCCGCAACUGACGCUGAGGAGCGAAAGCAUGGGGAGCGAACAGGAUUAGAUACCCUGGUAGUCCAUGCCGUAAACGUUGGGCACUAGGUGUGGGGCUCAUUCCACGAGUUCCGUGCCGCAGCUAACGCAUUAAGUGCCCCGCCUGGGGAGUACGG
rnacentral:rRNA from 1 species